UGUGGAGAUUCAUGGGGCAGCAGAUGAUGGUGUCUAUCUACAGCUGAUUGUGAUGGAAGCAAAAGCAGUUUCACCCAAACAGGGAGAGCUGACUACAGCUUUACAGCAGACAGAAAGUUUUACUUCAUCUACACAGCAGAGAGACGGUUUCACUUCAGCAACAAAACACCCAACAGGAUGGGCUGUGACCACAUGUCCCUCUGGUGCCUUGACUUCCACCACUAAUAAGAAUCUGAACACCACACAGUCACCAAGAGACCACAUUUGGCACUUUCUGCUUCAUGCUGCUCUUGGUCUGGUCUACCUGCUUUGUACUGGAGUGGCCAUUAUCACCUGGAGAAACCAUAG